UAAUGUGCCUAAAUAUCCUAAAGGCACCUGAUCCCACAUGAUCUUGAAAGCUAAGUAGGGUCAGCCCUGGUUAGUACUUGGAUGGGAGACUGCCAGAUGUUGCAAGGCUAUAUUUC
rnacentral:rRNA from 1 species